rnacentral:rRNA from 1 species
UACGUAGGGUCCGAGCGUUGUCCGGAAUUACUGGGCGUAAAGAGCUCGUAGGUGGUUUGUCGCGUCGGCCGUGAAAACCUGCAGCUUAACUGUGGGCUUGCGGUCGAUACGGGCAUCACUGGAGUUCGGCAGGGGAGACUGGAAUUCCUGGUGUAGCGGUGAAAUGCGCAGAUAUCAGGAGGAACACCGGUGGCGAAGGCGGGUCUCUGGGCCGAUACUGACGCUGAGGAGCGAAAGCGUGGGGAGCGAACAGG